CAGCGAUCGAUCCAGCAGGGGUAGAUUUAUUGGGUCUAGUCUAGACGCGAUAAAUCAACCCGCGAGCAGUCUCCCGUCGACUCCUGUACUCCACCGCCACGAGAGGUGCAGACGAAGUCCACGGGAGAGCGGCAGCAGUCGAUUCACUGCGGUGAAGACACCACGGUGAGUAGGUCUAAGUAUGUCAACUUCAGCUACAUUAUUCAUAAAAUUCAGCUAAAUUAUUCAC